UUUGAAGUUAAAUUGGUGUACGUAUAUGACACGAUAUGUAUCAUAUAUAUCAGGUUUAGAUGCGAGUGGGUUUAUAUAGACUCCACGUUAACAUUUUAUUUGUAUACAGCCAUACCUUACCAAUGAUAAGGUUCCCAUCUCUCUAGCUCUCUCUUCCGCAAUGACUAAUCCCAACUGCAAUAAUUUUUGUAAGCCAACCCUUUCAAAUCUCUCCACAAUCUUUCUCUCGUUCUUGCUCCACUUUCUCAUCCGCCCUAUUGCCGGGGAAUUGGCACCUCCAUAUACUCCUACUGAAAAUAUUGCCCUCUCCUGUGGUUCCUCCGGCCACUCUAUCAAAUCAUUAGAUGGUAGGACAUGGAUCGGAGACAUUAACUCCUCAAUCUUCCCCAUUGAAAAAUUACAAAACAACGCAUCAGUUACCUCUGCGGCUGGCCAACCAACAACUUCGACCAGUGUACCUUAUAUCACAGCACGCGUCUCUCACUCCGAAUUCACCUACGUAUUCCAGGUCACUUCUGGCCAAAAAUUCAUCCGACUAUACUUCUACCCAGCUACAUACCAAAACUUUGAGCGCUCCAAAGCCCUUUUCUCUGUCAAAAUUGGCCCUUACACUCUUCUUCACGAAUUUAAUGCAUCGCUUACUGCCGAUUUCGAUGAUAAUCCUUUGGAUACUAUAUACAGAGAAUUCUGCAUUAACGUGGUAGAUGAGCAGUGGUUAAACAUAACUUUUAUUCCAAGCCCAGAUACGAUAGAUACGUAUGCAUUCAUCAAUGGAAUAGAAGUUGUAUCGAUGCCACCAUAUCUUUACUACACUAAACCCGACGAUCCAGAAAAUGGGUUCAAAUUCAUCGGAGAACCAAACCAGCGUGUGCGCAUCGAAAACAACACUGCUCUGGAAAUGGUAUACCGCAUAAACGUGGGUGCAGGUGAAAUACCGCCUUAUAAAGAUACAGGAAUGUUUCGGAUGUGGUCAGCUGAGGGCGCCUACCUGACGUCCUCUGGGACAAGUGUUUUACCUGUCAACUUAACUGCCCACCUCCAGUUUACCAAAAUCCCUAAUUACACUGCGCCAGAAGUUGUCUAUCGAACCGCACGGUCUAUGGGAAUGGAUAAUGACUUAAACAAGAAGUAUAUUCUCACCUGGCAGUUUCCCGUGGAUUAUGGGUUCAUGUAUAUGGUAAGGUUACAUUUUUGCGAGUUCGAGUCGGAGAUUCGUGUAAUCGGUGAUAGAGUGUUCCUCAUCUUCAUAAAUAAUCAACCCGCAGAGGGAGGAUUCGACGUGAUAAGACAAAGUGGUGGAAACGGGGUUCCAAUAUAUAAGGAUUACGCAGUCUUGAUGCCCAAUGCCCAAAGAAAUGAGAAGAAACUAAACCUCUCUGUCGCUUUGCAGGCAAACCCAGCUGAUUGGCAAACAGCCAGAAGUGAUGCUAUCUUGAAUGGUAUUGAAAUCUUCAAGUUGAGCAACGUCGACGGCAAUCUCGCUGGACCCAAUCUCGACCCUCGUGAUAUAUUGACCCCAACAACCACUACGCCGCCGAGCCAAUUGCACAAAAGUCGAACAAGGGUUGCAAUCUUGAAAGCAAUAAUUGGUACUCUUGGAGGUAUAGUUUUCAUCGUGGCCGUGCUAUCUAUUGUCGGAUUCUUGAUUUUCAGGCGAAACAAGAGGAUCAAGCAGGAGGGCUCCAGUGAUGGGACAAGUUGGUGGUAUCCGUUUUCGUCUUCAAAAACUAAGUCAAGGACUAGUGGCUCAUCUCUUCCAUCUGAUUUGUGCCGUUGCUUCUCGCUGACUGAAAUUAGAGCUGCGAUCAAUAAUUUCGACGAUGCUUUCAUCAUUGGGGUUGGGGGUUUUGGCAAUGUCUAUAAAGGGUAUAUUGAUGAUGGGGCCACCCUUGUUGCAAUCAAACGACUGAACCCAAGGUCGAGACAAGGUGCCCACGAGUUCCAGACAGAGAUUCGGAUGCUCUCCCAGCUUCGCCACCUCAAUCUCGUAUCUCUUAUUGGCUAUUGCAAUGAACAACAUGAAAUGAUCCUCGUCUAUGAUUACAUGACCCGCGGGUCGCUUCGGGAUCAUCUCUACAAUACCGACAAACCACCUCUUUCAUGGGAGCAACGACUCCAGAUAUGUAUCGGAGCGGCCCAUGGGUUGUAUUAUCUACACAGGGGCACAAGCCGCACAAUCAUUCACCGAGACGUGAAGACGACAAAUAUUUUGUUGGACGAAGAAUGGGUGGCAAAGGUUUCUGAUUUUGGUUUGUCUAAACUGGGCCCAACCGGUCAUUCCAUGACCCAUGUGAGCACAGAGGUCAAGGGCAGCAUUGGGUACUUGGAUCCAGAGUAUUACCGGCGUCAGCAGCUGACUGAGAAGUCCGACGUGUACUCGUUUGGCGUCGUCUUGUGUGAAGUGUUGUGCGCAAGGGCACCUUUGGUUCGCAAUGCUGAUAAAGAGCAAGUGAGCCUAUCAGAGUUGGUCCGGAAACGCUAUCGGAGCGGAAAGCUUGAUCAGAUAGUCGACCCAUUUUUGACAGGAAAGAUUUCGCCAGAGUGUUUGAGGAAAUUUGGUGAGAUUGCAGUAAGUUGUUUACUUGACGAUGGAGUCGAGCGACCAUCGAUGGACGAUGUGGUUGGAGACCUCGAAUUUGCGCUACAACUGCAACAUUCCAAAACUGGUAAAAAAUCAGUAAUUGGGGAUCAUUGUGAUGGCGUUUUUACCAGUAGCAGUGGAAGCGAGCACAAUGGAAAGGGUGGCAGCAGCGAACUGGAGCCGAGUUUCGGGGAAAAGGAAUCAUAUAGCUUGAUCUCUGGGACAGCGUUCUCUGAUCUUGUGAAUCCGAAAGGACGAUAAAGAUCAAUAUGUCCAUGAGAGAGAUUAUGAUAUCUUACAGCAAGGUGCUUUGACCAUAUGAGUAGAAGAAAGAGAGUGAAGGGAGAAGCCUCUUGUUGUGUAAUGGGAAGUGAAAGAUGGAAUCCUGUUUGGAGGUUGAAUACUCCAAGUGUUGUGAAGACUUUCAUUUGGAAAGCUAUCAAUAAUUGUCUCCCUACAAGAGUGAACCUGACUAAAAGGAAGAUUAUUGAGAACCCCUUGUGCCCAAUAUGUGAAAGAGAGGAGGAAACAAUUUGUCACACCCUUUGGAGCUGUCUAGCUACAUCUGAUGUGUGGACUGAAUCUAUAAGCCCUAUCCACAAAUGGUCCAGCAAUGAAGUUGAUUUCAUAGUGUUAUGGAAGAAGCUAUCUCUGAAACUUAUGCAAAAUGACUUGGAUGUUAUAGCAAUUAUCAUGAGGAGGCUUUGGACCAGAAGAAACAAAUUAUUUUUGAGAGGACCUUCUCUAGUCCUAGAGUGGUGGUGAAACAAGCAAGCGAGAGUCUUGAUGAGUUCACACAGGCAUAUGAUAGCUUAGGGGGGUCAAAAGUUGUUGGGAGUGCUGACAAGGGCAUGGCUAAGUGGAGACCGCCUUGGGAGUGG